UACGUAGGGUGCAAGCGUUGUCCGGAAUUAUUGGGCGUAAAGAGCUCGUAGGCGGUCUGUCGCGUCGGAUGUGAAAAUCCAGGGCUCAACCCUGGACCUGCAUUCGAUACGGGCAGACUAGAGUUCGGUAGGGGAGACUGGAAUUCCUGGUGUAGCGGUGAAAUGCGCAGAUAUCAGGAGGAACACCGGUGGCGAAGGCGGGUCUCUGGACAGUUCCUGACGCUGAGGCACGAAGGCCAGGGGAGCAAACGGG
rnacentral:rRNA from 1 species